GUACCAUUAGUGGCGGACGGGUGCGUAACGCGUGGGAACCUGCCCUGAAGUUCGGAAUAACUGCGGGAAACUGCAGCUAAUACCGGAUGUGGCCUGCGGGCCAAAGGGGAAACUCGCUUCAGGAGGGGCCCGCGUCCGAUUAGCUWGGUUGGCGGGGUAACGGCCCACCAAGGCGAUGAUCGGUAGCUGGUCUGAGAGGACGACCAGCCACACUGGAACUGAGAUACGGUCCAGACUCCUACGGGAGGCAGCAGUGGGGAAUAUUGGACAAUGGGRGCAACCCUGAUCCAGCAAUGCCGCGUGAGUGAUGAAGGCCUUCGGGUUGUAAAGCUCUUUUGGCGGGGACGAUGAUGACGGUACCCGCAGAAUAAGCCCCGGCUAACUUCGUGCCAGCAGCCGCGGUAAUACGAMGGGGGCUAGCGUUGUUCGGAAUUACUGGGCGUAAAGGGCGCGUAKGCGGCCUUGUUAGUCGAGUGUGAAAGCCCUGGGCUUAACCCGGGAAGCGCGCUUGAUACUGCAGGGCUUGAGUGUGGGAGAGGAUGAUGGAAUUCCCAGUGUAGAGGUGAAAUUCGUAGAUAUUGGGAANAACACCAGUGGCGAA
rnacentral:rRNA from 1 species